rnacentral:rRNA from 1 species
CUUGGUCAUUUAGAGGAAGUAAAAGUCGUAACAAGGUCUCCGUUGGUGAACCAGCGGAGGGAUCAUUACCGAGUUUACAACUCCCAAACCCAAUGUGAACGUUACCAAACUGUUGCCUCGGCGGGGUCACGCCCCGGGUGCGUAAAAGCCCCGGAACCAGGCGCCCGCCGGAGGAACCAACCAAACUCUUUCUGUAGUCCCCUCGCGGACGUAUUUCUUACAGCUCUGAGCAAAAAUUCAAAAUGAAUCAAAACUUUCAACAACGGAUCUCUUGGUUCUGGCAUCGAUGAAGAACGCAGCGAAAUGCGAUAAGUAAUGUGAAUUGCAGAAUUCAGUGAAUCAUCGAAUCUUUGAACGCACAUUGCGCCCGCCAGUAUUCUGGCGGGCAUGCCUGUCCGAGCGUCAUUUCAACCCUCGAACCCCUCCGGGGGGUCGGCGUUGGGGAUCGGGACCCCUCACCGGGUGCCGGCCCUGAAAUACAGUGGCGGUCUCGCCGCAGCCUCUCCUGCGCAGUAGUUUGCACAACUCGCACCGGGAGCGCGGCGCGUCCACGUCCGUAAAACACCCAACUUCUGAAAUGUUGACCUCGGAUCAGGUAGGAAUACCCGCUGAACUUAAGCAUAUCAAUAAGCGGAGGA